GUUUCUCACUCUGCUUUCUAUGUCCAUUAGCUAAUAUGCCUAGUUUUUUGAGGAAUGUCUCUGGAUCGUCUCCCGAGGUUAAGGUGAGUACGUCGGUGCCCUUUUGUACUGUUAGCGAUCCCUCUGUGCCCCAUCGGUACCGGACCGAUUGUUCUCUCAGUCUCUUAGUGACCGGUGCCAGUAGUCUCCUUGCGGCAAGCACAGCAAACGGGAGGUUACUAAAUAUGGCCACUUCGCAUCCCUCAAAUUUUACCGACCCCAAUGGUCUGGAU